ACAUCCAGAGAACUUAGCAGAGAUGCUUGGUGCCUUCGGGAACUCUGAGACAGGUGCUGCAUGGCUGUCGUCAGCUCGUGUUGUGAAAUGUUGGGUUAAGUCCCGNAACGAGCGCAACCCCUAUCCUUGUUGCCAGCGAUUCGGUCGGGAACUCAAAGGAGACUGCCGGUGAUAAACCGGAGGAAGGUGGGGAUGACGUCAAGUCAUCAUGGCCCUUACGAGUAGGGCUACACACGUGCUACAAUGGCGCAUACAAAGAGAAGCGACCUCGCGAGAGCAAGCGGACCUCAUAAAGUGCGUCGUAGUCCGGAUUGGAGUCUGCAACUCGACUCCAUGAAGUCGGAAUCGCUAGUAAUCGUAGAUCAGAAUGCUACGGUGAAUACGUUCCCGGGCCUUGUACACACCGCCCGUCACACCAUGGGAGUGGGUUGCAAAAGAAGUAGAUAGCUUAACCUUCGGGAGGGCGUUUACCACUUUGUGAUUCAUGACUGGGGUGAAGUCGUAACAAGGUAGGCGUACGUGU
rnacentral:rRNA from 1 species